rnacentral:tRNA from 1 species
GGGUGACUAGUUCAGCGGUAGAACGCUUUCCUGAUAAGAAAGAGGCGCAUGGUCCGACUCCAUGGUCACCCACUA